GUCCAGAGGAAGUCUGGAAGUGUUUCUGCUUUCCACUCCGUACCAGGGAGCCAUGUAGUAACCACUAAGUUUUGUCUUCCAUCUGUUUGCAGGCAGAGGCGGGGAGAGAAAUCAUGAGAUAGAGAUUUAUCCCUGUUGGCCUGAGAAUGAAACUAAGUCCUGGCUGAAAUCCCUCUUUGUUGAAGAAGUCGCUGCAGGAGAGAAGUAUUCAAAUAAAAAGAUAAGUUUUAGAAAUUUUAUUUAAGCUAAAACAGCCUCCUUGAAAGUUUUAUGCAUCAAAGAAUAGAGAAAAAGAGCCUAACACUGAGAUCCCCCUGGCUCACAGGGACACUGCAGCCAUCCGAGCUCAGCAUUGCAGGGGUAGCUGUUCUUGCAGCCUGACAUACGCACCAGAGAAUUACCAGGUCUGACCUAGCCCAAUAGUUGCAGCAUUCUUCUCCCACCACCACUACAAAAUGAGUUGCUGAUUGGACCCACAUCAGGCAGUUGUCUGUUUUUCUUGUGGUGGAGCCAAGAUGGAAGGGGAUACUGACAUUUCUCUUAGGGACUGACUUGCAGAUGUCAUUCGCAUGAAAAUUCACCCAUCCAAACUUUACUCCCAUUUCUACUUUGUGCUGCUUCCUGUUAAAUGUCUCCAAAAUAGUGAUGAUGGUUUCAUCUUGCUGUGUUCAUCUUGGCCAGGAGAGCUGGUUUUAUCACAUCUGUAUUUUAACCACAGCCCCAGCUGAAACUAAAAUAUAUUUAAAAAGUAAAAGUAAAGCUGGAUUAACAGCAGUGGAGAUAGAUUUGUGCAAACCCAGUGCAGCUGAAAUUAGAAUCAGGCUUGCUAUGUUUUAUAACAAAGGUAAACGUGUCCUCUUUUUUCAUGGUGCUGGCAAACAAAACAUGUCUGACUCCAUUGGUCAGGCAAAGCAAUUACAUCUCUGAGGUGCUCUGAGAAGAGGCAGGCAAGAAAUGAAUAUGCUGAAGGCAGUUCAAAUUCCUUGAUGUUGAUAUGCAUUGCUGGGCAGCAAAAUGGAUACAUUUUCCUAUGGAUAAAGAACAAAGAAAGCAAGACAGUAAAAAGAGGAAUCUCUCAGCAGAUCCAGGACCAGCACGUCACUCCCUUCCCCACAUUUUAUGAGUGGUUUUGCUCAGUCUGUUUUCACUGUCCUACAUAAUUUCCCCUUUGAAAGUACUGCCAAAUUAUCCUACAGCUGUUAAGGACUAGUGGGCUAUCCCUUCAAGAGAAAGGUUAACAGAGAAUAUCCGUUUAUGUUGCUCACUAAUUAUACCCAAGACAAAAGUAAGCACAACUUAUGAUAAAAAACACCCUCACCUGUAUUACCAACAUCUAUCACCAGGACACAUCCUGACCUUCAGUUCUUUGCAGAUGGUCCUGGAAUGAGCUGUUCCCUGAACUCACUUUCAGUUCCUCACAUAAAGCCCACAUCUCUUUAAGAAGGCCAGAACCCAAACUCAGCUGCACUGGAUGAACCUGGAAGAAGUAAAGUGCAAAAGGCAGACCUUGGCCAGAGUACAUCCCACCACAUGCACUCAGUGUUAGGCCUAUAGUGCACCCAGGGAGAGGGAAGAAGAACAAGUUGGUCCAAUUUCAGCCCACGUGGUGGAUUCCUGUUUCCCAGGGAAAUUCUCAUCGUAUCCGAAUAGAUUUUCUUCCUGGCUGAAAUGUGGUGUGCACAGCUGCUAAGGGUCUGCUCUGCUGGGCUGUGAAAGGUCUCUGCAGCAAACCUCCAAACAAGCAAGGUGUGCUGGCAGGGUUAUGCUCCCAAGAUGCUGUAACUUUCGUUGUAUAGUAUUGUUAUAGUGUUCUUUUCUUUCUCUGUGAUGACAAUAGUACUUGAAGUCUCUGAACUGUCCCUGAAUGUCAUCCAGAGUUAAAUUCAGAACCUUGUGUCAGAAGCUGGAAGAGGAAGCCACAGGUAUUUCAGGAUACUGUAAUGUCUGUGCCUGGUUCUGCAUUGCUAUCUUCUGCAGAUAGAUGUGCAAAACAGGAAGCGGAGGACUGUGCUCCAUUCCACUCUGCCAUGAAUAACCGCUCCCUGAACGGGUGAGGCAAUACAAGUCGUGCUACUAAACCUCUAACAGUUUCAGAAGAAUAGUUUGGAUGGAGGUGGGGUAUUAUGUGCCCUUAUAGGAUUACAGACACUAUAUUAACAUUAAAGUUUCAUCUUUGUACUGUAUGUUUACAUCCUCUUUUGUUGAGUCUGAAGGGGCUUUUCCUCAUUUCCAGCUUGGUUCAAUCAUCUCAGCUGCCAUGACUUCUAAGACAAGGUCCUGUGUUACCGUACCAAAGGCAGACAGCAGCAAAAGGAAUCAGACAGAUUCAUCACACCACAGGCUCAUUCCUGUUGUGCACCACAGCAUGCCACUGUGCUGAGCAUCACCACUCUAUGAAUUUUAGUAAGCAUGAAAAAUAAAGAGCAGAGAGACAAACAGGUGUGCUAACGCCUUGAUCACAAUAUAUAAGAAUCAUAGAAUGGCCUGGGUUGAAAAGGACCACAGUGAUCAUCGAGUUUCAACCCCCCUGCUUUGUGCAGGGUCACCAACCACCGGACCAGGCUGCCCGGAGCCACAGCCAUAGCUUUCGUACAUCCCACAGAACAUCCCAAAAACACUUUAGGGAUUUCAGAUCUGCUACUGCCAAACAUACCAUUCUUCAGAGCACGCAAACCAAGAGAGUGGCUGUCAACAUCAGACUACUUGAAUCCUUCAUUCAGUGCCUAAGCUAACUGCUAAAAACCCAGGCAGCACGUACCAUGGUGAACUCUGAAAGUUUCACAGGCUUUGAUGAGGAGGUAAAAAUAGAGGCUUGUGUUUCUUGCUAAGCUGGAAUGCUCAAAUUCUUUUUACAGCCCAUAUCAGUUAAGCUACUGUAACUGUACUGGCUGGUUUACCCAGGACAAAGAAUAAAGCUUGGCAAACUAGUCACUGUUUCAUAUACAAAAUAAUCCAAAUUACUGUAGCUUGUCAUCUUUUUAUUAUGUUU
ensembl:lncRNA